rfam:Loxodonta africana unplaced genomic scaffold scaffold_99, whole genome shotgun sequence.
GCAUUGGUGGUUCAGUGGUAGAACUCUUGCCUUCCAUACGGGACACUAGGGUUUGAUUUCCAGCCAAUGCG